rnacentral:lncRNA from 1 species
GUUAGACCUCUAGUCUAAGCUGGCCCACACUGAGCCUGCAGAGAAGCUAAAAUGAGGCUGUGGCUGCUGAGUUUAGUGGCAGGGAUCAUCCUGGGGGUGGCCGGGACCCCCCUGGGAAAAGCCUCAACAGGAAGAGAACGAGCAAAGGAGGAAAAGACAGCAUCGAAUGACGAUGAUAUCCCUAAAACUUCACUCAGUUGUAUUGGUAGCUGCACUAAAUCUCAGAUACACCAUUUGGAUAGUUCUGAGAAAGAAAAAGGAGAAGGAAAAGAACAAACAGAGCCUGAUCCCUACAAAGAGUCCCCAGGUACCCUGGACCUUCAAAGGACCAUCCUCCUCCAGCUGCUUAACCAGACAACAUCUAUGAACAGGAGCUCACAAAUGGAUUUUAUCCUUCGAAAUCUAAAUGGCAGCAGCAUCAGAGAUCUCUGUGAGGGCUGCUGUGAGGAGAGAGAGAAAGAGGAACUAUACCUAAGCAGGCAACCAAGGAAGACACUGAAGUCUCCCAGGAAGAGAAGACCUGGCCAGUGGACAAUCCUUGGGAGUUUGCCUCUCCCAAUUGGAAACAGUUCCAUCAAUAUGGUGAUGAUGUUUCAUAAUGACACUCAUAUUGACUAUCAAGCUAAGAAAGUCACACACCAGGCUGAGAACCUCAGAGAAGGGUGGUGCUCUGGCUGCUGUGAAGACAAUGGAACCCUGGGGGCCCUUGAGAGAAGAGAGGGAGAAGAAGUCAAAGAAGUGCCUCCUAUUAGCACUGAUCAUGGUGGUCAGGUCCUAGGGAACUCUGGUUCCACAGAGAAGAGAUUGGCUCACCUUUCUGAAGUUUCCCAUGAAGCUAGAGGGCAGUUUGAUCUCGGACUUAGUAAAUACCCUACAGAAACCUUUCCUGUCUUCCCCACAAGCUAAACCAUGCUCUAGUCUACCUUGAAUAAGACCUAGUGCAAUGCCCAGCAGGAACAGAGCACCACGAGAAAUACUUUACUUAUGCUAAAGCAAUAAUUCUGGGAAAUAAAAGGUCCUGUGUUCCAUUCCCUCCA